rnacentral:rRNA from 1 species
CUGGCUCAGGAUGAACGCUAGCUACAGGCUUAACACAUGCAAGUCGGGGGGCAGCACUGGUGUGGCAACACUCCUGGUGGCGACCGGCGCACGGGUGAGUAACGCGUAUCCAACCUGCCCCACAGUAGGGGAUAGCCCGGCGAAAGUCGGAUUAAUACCCUAUGUUUUCCCUUGAGAGCAUUUGACGGGGAACAAAGGUUUACCGCUAUGGGAUGGGGAUGCGUCCGAUUAGGCAGACGGCGGGGUAACGGCCCACCGUGCCUUCGAUCGGUAGGGGUUCUGAGAGGAAGGUCCCCCACAUUGGAACUGAGACACGGUCCAAACUCCUACGGGAGGCAGCAGUGAGGAAUAUUGGUCAAUGGGCGCGAGCCUGAACCAAGCCAAGUAGCGUGCAGGACGGCGGCCCUAUGGGUUGUAAACUGCUUUUGCCGGGGAAUAAAGUGCGGGACGUGUCCCGUUUUGUAUGUACCCGGAGAAUAAGGACCGGCUAAUUCCGUGCCAGCCGCCGC